rnacentral:lncRNA from 1 species
UUAGGCUUCAAAAGAAUAUGUUCCUGCCACACUGAAGCUAAGUGGGCUGUUCAAAACAUCAGUGGCUUUAUGGAUAUAGGCUACGUUUCCUCUGCUGUGCCUCAAACAACAUGGACACUGGGUCAGUGUGAUGAGUGAAGAGUAGCCCAGCUACUCCAACAAACAAGAAGAGCAGUUCAGCUACUCCAACAAACAAGAAAAAAAGCUAAGAAAUUAGCACACAGUGGCAAGCUGAAAAUAUGUCAGGUACACUGAGGGGCUAGGUCACCCUGAAUAUCAAAAAUUCAAGGCUCUGCAUUAGGCUUCUGGAAACACCAUUCUAGAAGGCUAGAGAAUCUCUUCAAAAGCUCUCCCAGGGGAUGUCAAUAAAUUUCUGGGAAUGUUGAAUCGAAUGCUAUGACAAUGAAUUAUGACGUUACUGCUAGAUCUGGUGGCAGAGAAGUAUUGAGCUUACAGUUGUGCAAAGGCGAAUUCAGAAGCAAUUCAAGCCAUACUCUGGCCUCUGUGCAGAAUCAAAUCCAUCACACAGAGGAGAUAAGACAGUGA